AUACGUAGGGUGCGAGCGUUAAUCGGAAUUACUGGGCGUAAAGCGUGCGCAGGCGGUUAUGUAAGACAGAUGUGAAAUCCCCGGGCUCAACCUGGGAACUGCAUUUGUGACUGCAUGACUGGAGUGCGGCAGAGGGGGAUGGAAUUCCGCGUGUAGCAGUGAAAUGCGUAGAUAUGCGGAGGAACACCGAUGGCGAAGGCAAUCCCCUGGGCCUGCACCGACGCUCAUGCACGAAAGCGUGGGGAGCAAACAGGAUUAGAAACCCUAGUAGUCC
rnacentral:rRNA from 1 species